GCAGUUCCUAUUCUUCAGCACCAGUUCUAUUCUUUAGCUGUAACUCCUAGUCUUUUGGCAUUAGUUGUAACGUGCUUGAUUUCUGUUGGAUGUAAGGCUAUUAAUAUAGCCAGUUGAAUUGAAUAAAAAAAAGGCUCUUUUGUCGAGAACUCCCUAUCUCUUGACUUCUCCUCCUUUUUUCGUCCUUUCCUCCUCUCUGUUUUCUUUACUUCUCAAAUUAACCACAU
rnacentral:lncRNA from 1 species